rnacentral:tRNA from 1 species
GAGGGUGUAACUCAAUGGUAGAGUACAUACCUAGCUUGCAUGCGGUCCUGGGUUCAAUCCCUAGUACCUCCA